ACUCUAGUUUGGCAUUGUGAAAAGACAUAGGGGGUGUAGCAUAAGUGGGAGAGUUUCGGCUCGAUCUUGAAAUACCACUACCCUUAUCGUUUUUUUACUUAUUUGAUGAAAAAGGGUUGGGAGCAAUCCCAUCUUCUAGCAUUAACUCGGCGUCAGUCGAGGACCUUUGUCAAAGACAUGGUCAGAUGGGGAGUUUGGCUGGGGCGGCACAUCUGUUAAAGAAUAACGCAGGUGUCCCAAGGGCAACUCAUCGAGAACAGAAAUCUCGAGUAGAACAAAAGGGUAAAAGUUGCCUUGAUUUUGAUUUUCAGUGUGAAUACAAACCAUGAAAGUGGUGGG
rnacentral:ncRNA from 1 species